GGAGGAUCGCUUGAGCCUGGGAGGUCAAGGCUGCAGUGAGCUGUGAUCAUACCACUGCACUCCAGCCUGAAUGACACAGCAAGACUUUGUCUC
ensembl:miRNA